rnacentral:rRNA from 1 species
GAUGAACGCUGGCGGCGUGCCUAAUACAUGCAAGUCGAGCGAACGGACGAGAAGCUUGCUUCUUUGAUGUUAGCGGCGGACGGGUGAGUAACACGUGGAUCCCCUACCUAUAAGACUGGGAUAACUUCGUGAAUCCGGAGCUAAUACCGGAUCAUCUUUUGAACCGCAUGGUUCAAAAGUGAAAGACGGUCUUGCUGUCACUUAUAGCUGGAUCCGCGCUGCAUUAGCUAGUUGGUAGGGUAACGGCUUACCAAGGCAACGAUGCAUAGCCGACCUGAGAGAGGGGUCGGCCACACGGGAGCUGGGACGCGGUCCAGGGGCCUGAGAGAGGCAGCAGAAGGGAAUGGUCGGCAGCGGGCGGAAGCAUGACAGAACAGCGGCAAGUGAGAGAUGGAGGCGUUCGGAUCGUAAAGCUCUGUUAUGGGGGAAGAACAUAUGUGUAAGGAGCUGAGGACAUCGUGACGGUACCUAAUCAAGAAGCAACGGCUAACUACGUG